rnacentral:rRNA from 1 species
UACGAAGGGGGCUAGCGUUGCUCGGAAUCACUGGGCGUAAAGGGUGCGUAGGCGGAUCUUUAAGUCAGGGGUGAAAUCCUGGAGCUCAACUCCAGAACUGCCUUUGAUACUGAGGAUCUCGAGUUCGGGAGAGGUGAGUGGAACUGCGAGUGUAGAGGUGAAAUUCGUAGAUAUUCGCAAGAACACCAGUGGCGAAGGCGGCUCACUGGCCCGAUACCGACGCUGAGGCACGAAAGCGUGGGGAGCGAACAGG